rnacentral:rRNA from 1 species
GAUCCUGGCUCAGGAUGAACGCUGGCGGCGUGCUUAACACAUGCAAGUCGAACGGGAAACAUUUCAUUGAGGCUUCGGCGGAUUUGGUCUGUUUCUAGUGGCGGACGGGUGAGUAACGCGUGGGUAACCUGCCUUAUACUGGGGGAUAACAGCCAGAAAUGGCUGCUAAUACCGCAUAAGCGCACGGGGCCGCAUGGUCCUGUGUGAAAAACUCCGGUGGUAUAAGAUGGACCCGCGUUGGAUUAG